rnacentral:rRNA from 1 species
AGAGUUUGAUCCUGGCUCAGAAUCGACGCUGGCGGCGUGCCUAACACAUGCAAGUCGAACGCGAAAGCCCCGCAAGGGGUAAGUAGAGUGGCAAACGGGUGAGUAACACGUGGGUGACCUGCCUUCGAGUGGGGGGUAACGUCCCGAAAGGGACGCUAAUACCGCAUGACAUCCUGCUUUUGGAAAAGCGGAGAUCAAAGCUGGGGAUCGCAAGACCUGGCGCUUGAAGAGGGGCCCGCGCCUGAUUAGCUAGUUGGUAGGGUAACGGCCUACCAAGGCAACGAUCAGUAUCCGGCCUGAGAGGGCGGACGGACACACUGGGACUGAGACACGGCCCAGACUCCUACGGGAGGCAGCAGUGGGGAAUUGUUCGCAAUGGGCGCAAGCCUGACGACGCAACGCCGCGUGGAGGACGAAGAUCUUCGGGUCGUAAACUCCUGUCGAGUGGGAAGAAUGCUUCGGGGGUGAAUAACCUCCGGAAUUGACGGUACCACUAAAGGAAGCCCCGGCUAACUCCGUGCCAGCCGCCGCGGUAAUAC